rnacentral:lncRNA from 1 species
GGAGAAGGCCACCAGUUCUAACAGGACUGAGCAUGGCAUACAAACUAUCAUCCUGGAGUUCACUCUUAUUUAUGUUUCCGUUGACGCCAGAAGCAUCAAAUGCAGCUUCAAGGAGUCCAUUCCCAACAUUGUCCUUAGGCCUCAGGUCACUGGGCCUCUGCUCUGGGUCCCAACUCUGGGCCCCUCUUGCCAUACCCUUCCCCAGGGGGCAAGGAGUCCACUGGGCUCAAAGGGACAUUCCAUUCACAGCCAGUACCCCAGACAUGACUCCACUCACCGCCAGUACCCCAGACAUGACUCCACUCACAGCCAGUACCCCGUCUUCUAGCCACACGCUGUGGGCACGCGUGACCUCAGAAUCCUCUACCUGAAAAGCCCCUUGUGGGCCUCUGCUCUAGUCCCUCCUCUCAGAGAGGACAGGUGUGCAGCUCGGAGCUCGCCCUUAGGCCUGUGUGGUGGAAGCCAAGGGGCGGCUGUCUGGGGAUGGACGGAGCUUGGACUUGGAGCUGGGUGUCUGGUCUGUGACGGCGUCAACGCAGGCCAGAGCUGCGGCGGGAGAGAAGAGAACCGGCAUCUUCCGUUUGCACUCCUGAGUCGGGUCCUGCAAAUGCUGGGGGCAGGUCUGUCCCUUCCUGCCAGCCCGGGCAGCGAGGUUUGGUGGCUGCAAGGGCAGCAUUUGUGCCGGUCUUUGAAGUUUCCCCCUCACCUUUCCAAUCUCAACCAAGUGAACUUGGUUUUCAGAGGGAAUUGUGUUUCUGCUGUAACUACUACUAAACCAGCCACAGGAAUUUCUUUUUGUUGAGACCUUUUUGUUUGUGUGACUUUAAAAUUAGUGCAUGUUCAUGUAAAAAACUCACGUAGAGUUGCUGUGAAAUCUAGAAAAGAGAAUGAAAUUACUUCAUAACCCAUCUGUGCCUAGAUAGCUACCAUGAACGUUAUGUGUAUUUCCUUCCACUGUUGUUCUCGCUCUGUGGAUAUGUGCUUAUACUGUGUACAUAAAUAAUUGCUUUCCUACAA